GUGCUCACUUUGGCAGUACAUAUACUAAAAUUGGAAUGAUACAGAGAUUAGCAUGGCCUCUGAGCAAGGAUGACAUGCAAAUUCAUAAAGUAUUCCAUAUAAAA
rnacentral:snRNA from 1 species